CAACCGCUCCGAACAAUCGCGCGGUAUCAUACCGAAAGGUCAUAUCGUGAGGAAAGUCCGGGCUCCACAGAGCAGGAUAACAGAUAAUGUCUGCCGAAGGCGACUUCAGGGCUAGUGCAACAGAAAUAAACCGCCCCGCCGUACGAAUUAUUUUGUGCGUGUGUGGUAAGGAUGGAAAGGCGAGGUAAGAGCUCACCGGCGUACAGGCGACUGUACGGCCAUGUAAACCCUAUCCGGAGCAACACCGCAGGAGAGCUUAAUGCUUGCUCGGCAGCUCUCACAGGUGGCAAGGAGGUAAGUGGCGACACUUAUCCAAGAUAGAUGAUUGUUCAAGACAGAACCCGGCUUAUAGGGGCGUGUUGCAUU
rnacentral:RNase_P_RNA from 1 species